AUUGAACGCUAGCGGGAUGCCUUACACAUGCAAGUCGAACGGCAGCACGGACUUCGGUCUGGUGGCGAGUGGCGAACGGGUGAGUAAUGUAUCGGAACGUGCCUAGUAGCGGGGGAUAACUACGCGAAAGCGUAGCUAAUACCGCAUACGCCCUACGGGGGAAAGCAGGGGAUCGCAAGACCUUGCAGUAUUAGAGCGGCCGAUAUCGGAUUAGCUAGGUGGUGGGGUAACGGCUCACAAAGGCGACGAUCCGGAGCUGGUUUGAGAGGACGACCAGCCACACGGGGACUGAGACACGGCCCAGACACCGACGGGAGGCAGCAGUGGGGAAUUUUGGACAAUGGGGGAAACCCUGAUCCAGCCAUCCCGCGUGUGCGAUGAAGGCCUUCGGGUUGUAAAGCACUUUUGGCAGGAAAGAAACGUCGCGGGUUAAUACCCCGCGGAACUGACGGUACCUGCAGAAUAAGCACCGGCUAACUACGUGCCAGCAGCCGCCGUAAUAC
rnacentral:rRNA from 1 species